rnacentral:rRNA from 1 species
UACGAAGGGGGCUAGCGUUGUUCGGAAUUACUGGGCGUAAAGCGCACGUAGGCGGGUUGUUAAGUCAGGGGUGAAAUCCUGGAGCUCAACUCCAGAACUGCCUUUGAUACUGGCAACCUAGAGACUGGAAGAGGUUAGUGGAAUUCCCAGUGUAGAGGUGAAAUUCGUAGAUAUUGGGAAGAACACCAGUGGCGAAGGCGGCUAACUGGUCCAGCACUGACGCUGAUGUGCGAAAGCGUGGGGAGCAAACAGGG